UCCUGACAGAGCGCAUGGUGCGCCCUGACACUAGCCACGACAGGAGACUCACAUG
rnacentral:ncRNA from 1 species